rnacentral:lncRNA from 1 species
AUUUGCAGGCUGUAAAUUUCUUUAAAUGAUAGAUGUAAAGAUGGAAGACAGAUGGAUAGAGGAAAAGACAGAAUCAGAUACUGGAUGAGUUGGUAUUGCAGUCUGUGUUUCAGCGCUGUCUUAUUACUGCAAGGCUAGCAAGCAUCAAAGUCCCCCCACAGCUCCAACUCCCUCCCCCUGAAAUGUACCGAUUUAUAUGAAAAUUAAGAUUACAAAUUAAAGCCUGGCUAUCCUGGAGUUUUCCAGUUCAUCAGCCAUCCAAUAAAAAUGAUGUCAAGCCUGUAUGCAUAAUUCCCAGAAGAUUACUUUGUCCUUACAGCUAAGCCCUGUCCCUGAUAUGAAAGAUCUCUAUCCACUUUUAUUGAAAUAAAGAACUAACAUCAUAAUCCCAA